UGGGUUUAAGUAUCGGUUAACAUUUAGAGCGUGACUUUCACCGGAAGAGUGACGCGCAUCUAAUAAGACAAAGAAAGUUUAGUUCUGACUUCUGAGUUAGAUCACCGAGUGCUACUCACUUAGAGUGUGAUUGGUAAACCAUAGUAAAUGGGAGUAAACUAAUUAGAGUAACUAAGAGGGAAAUGAUGGAGUAAAUAAGAGAAAAAUGAUAGAAUAACAAAUAAUAAAAAAAUCAAGAAAAAAUUAAACAAACAUACCUCUUCAAAAGCCGUUAGGGAAUAAAGUAAACCACACAUACCCUUAGUUAAACAUUAUUGAUCUACUUGUUAUUAAAUGGGUAUGUUUUUAGAAUUUUGAUCAAGGUUAUAAUUUUAAAAUAAAUUUUUCAAAACCUUCUAUAUUGGAUAGUGAUCAUUUUGUAGAGAAAUAUUGUAGAUUUUGGAUUUUGAUUUAAAAAUUAAGAUAACAAGAGUUUAUGUAGAUAGAUUAAUACGCUUUUAAA
rnacentral:lncRNA from 1 species